rnacentral:lncRNA from 1 species
GUUGGCCAGGCCCUUCUUGAUGCUGAAUGGCAGGAGGACUUUGAAGAAGUGACAGGGUCAGAGGUGCCAUCCAGAAAGAUCACCCUGAUCAGAGCUGGGAGAAUGGAGGUGCCGGGCAGGAGCAGAUGCCAGGGCCGGCUUGGAGGCAACUGGAAUACUCCAGGCAAGAGGACGGAGUCCAAGGCCAGGGUGGGAGAAGGGGUUGGGAAGCCCUGCAGGGGGUAGAAUGGACUCAAGAUUUGAAAUUGGGGCAGGGAGUGGGAAACAGUGUCAGUCAUGAGCCCCUGGGUGCUGCCUCGUGGACCAAAUGGAUGCUGGUGCCAUUGACUGCAAUAGAAUCCUGGGGAGCGACCAGAGCGAGGUGGCAAAGAGAUAGGGAGAGAGAGAGAAUGUGUGUGUGUGUGUGUGUGUGUGUGUGUGAGCGAGGUGGCAAAGAGAUAG